CCUACGGGAGGCAGCAGUGGGGAAUAUUGCACAAUGGGCGCAAGCCUGAUGCAGCCAUGCCGCGUGUGUGAAGAAGGCCUUCGGGUUGUAAAGCACUUUCAGCGGGGAGGAAGGCGGUGAGGUUAAUAACCUCAUCGAUUGACGUUACCCGCAGAAGAAGCACCGGCUAACUCCGUGCCAGCAGCCGCGGUAAUACGGAGGGUGCAAGCGUUAAUCGGAAUUACUGGGCGUAAAGCGCACGCAGGCGGUCUGUCAAGUCGGAUGUGAAAUCCCCGGGCUCAACCUGGGAACUGCAUUCGAAACUGGCAGGCUAGAGUCUUGUAGAGGGAGGUAGAAUUCCAGGGGUAGCGGUGAAAUGCGUAGAGAUCUGGAGGAAUACCGGUGGCGAAGGCGGCCCCCUGGACAAAGACUGACGCUCAGGUGCGAAAGCGUGGGGAGCAAACAGGAUUAGAUACCCCGGUAGUC
rnacentral:rRNA from 1 species